rnacentral:lncRNA from 1 species
CCUUUUCUUCUAUCUCCUUGCUCCCCAUUCCUCCUCCUCCAAGGAUUCCGUCCACCGAGAUCUCUUCCUCGGAGAACAGCAGCUGUAGAUCAGACGGAGGUGGCGGAGGAGGAGGAGGUGGUGGUGGUGGCGGCAGGGAGGAUGAAGGCGGGAGGAAAAAACCAGAAAGAUUGGAUUUUUCCCGCGUCUUGUGCAGAUUUACCUGGGGUGGGGCUGGCGGUGGCGGUGGCGGAGAGCGAGAGACCUGCUUCCUGGAUUUCUGGGUGGGCGGCGGAGGUGGCGGCGGAGGAGGGGAGGAGGCAUUCCUCUUCGAUUGUCGUUUCACAGUAGAAGGUGGUGGUGGAGGCGGCGGCGGAGGCGGAGGAGGAGCUGGCGUCGAGUGGAUCCUCGGGUUCUUGCUC